UACGUAGGGCGCAAGCGUUAUCCGGAAUUAUUGGGCGUAAAGAGCUCGUAGGCGGUCUGUCGCGUCGGCUGUGAAAACCCGGGGCUCAACCCCGGGCCUGCAGUCGAUACGGGCAGACUAGAGUGCGGUAGGGGAGACUGGAAUUCCUGGUGUAGCGGUGAAAUGCGCAGAUAUCAGGAGGAACACCGGUGGCGAAGGCGGGUCUCUGGGCCGUAACUGACGCUGAGGAGCGAAAGCGUGGGGAGCGAACAGG
rnacentral:rRNA from 1 species